rnacentral:rRNA from 1 species
UUAAUAGGUUUAAAAGGGUAUUUGGCGGUAAAUUAAGCCAGAUAAAAACAAAGGGUACUAAUUAUACUUGAGUUGGAUUGAAGGAGGGUGUGUAUAGGGGGGGAGGGAUGAAAUUCAGUCAUACCAUUAUGACAGGCAACGGGGAAAGCAACCUUUAGAUAAAAACUGACGUUAAAGGACGAAGGGUUUGUGUCACCAACAGGAUUAGAUACCCAAGCAGUUUUAGCAGACAAUUAUGAAUGCCAUAGGUAAGAAGAAAAGACAUUUAUUUUUUUUUGCAGAAUUUAUAGCUAAUAUAAAUAAAAAAGAAAUAAAUGUGACAUUUAUUUUUUUUUUGGCAUAAUUUAUAGAUAAUAUAAAUAAAAAAAAGAAAUAGGAUGUCACAUUAUCUACAAAAGAUGAUGUUUUUUUUGUCUAUAAAUGAAAGUGUAAGCAUUCCACCUCAAGAGUAAUGUGGCAACGCAGAAACUGAAAUCAUUAGACCGUUUCUGAAACCAGUAGUGAAGUAUGUUGUUUAAUUAGAUGGUCCGCAAAAAACCUUACCACAAUUUGUAUAUUAUUAGCUUAAUACAAGAGUUGCACGGCUGUUUUUAGUUAAUGUCGUGAGAUUUUGGUUAGUUCCAUUAAAUUAACGUAAACCCUUACUUUAUUUAUAUUAUAAAGUAGUUCACCGCUAGAUUGGAUAUGAUAAGAGGGACUAAGACAAGUCAUCAUGACCUGAAUAUUGUGGGCUAUAGACGUGCCACAUAAGCCUAUACAAAGGGAUGCGAAAUUGGAAAUGAGCCAAUCCCGGACAA